GAUGAACGCUGGCGGCGUGCCUAAUACAUGCAAGUCGAGCGAACAGACGAGGAGCUUGCUCCUCUGACGUUAGCGGCGGACGGGUGAGUAACACGUGGAUAACCUACCUAUAAGACUGGGAUAACUUCGGGAAACCGGAGCUAAUACCGGAUAAUAUAUUGAACCGCAUGGUUCAAUAGUGAAAGACGGUUUUGCUGUCACUUAUAGAUGGAUCCGCGCCGCAUUAGCUAGUUGGUAAGGUAACGGCUUACCAAGGCAACGAUGCGUAGCCGACCUGAGAGGGUGAUCGCCCGCACUGGAACUGAGACACGGUCCAGACUCCUACGGGAGGCAGCAGUAGGGAAUCUUCCGCAAUGGGCGAAAGCCUGACGGAGCAACGCCGCGUGAGUGAUGAAGGUCUUCGGAUCGUAAAACUCUGUUAUUAGGGAAGAACAAAUGUGUAAGUAACUAUGCACGUCUUGACGGUACCUAAUCAGAAAGCCACGGCUAACUACGUG
rnacentral:rRNA from 1 species